CCAUGGUCAAUCUCCUCUGUUCUCUUCUCCAGACUGCCUUACUGGGUUUUCUGCAUCUCAGCUCUCCAGCCAACUCACGGAUAGAUCAGUUCCCUUCUGGGCUUUUUCUAAGACAAAAAGGUUCUUCGGUCACCCUGGGCUUGCCUCCAAACAACUUUGCCCAUAUUGUUUCUGUUACAUAUACUUAACUAUAAGGCUCCAACCUAACACUUACAGCCCUACAUUCCUAUGAUUCUCUGUGGAUUACAAGUACAGUCUUCACUGUGUGGCACAAGAGCACAACAUCCCAAUAUCAGACAAGGAAGUCACUGAAUUCUCUCUGUGAUAAUGAAGAAGCAAAGAAGCCCACUACUCCUAAAUUUCACAGAAAGCUCAGUGGAAACAGCAGCACUGGAGCAUUUGUCUGUCUAGCAGCAAGAGGGUUAACUCAGUGAUUCUUAGGACUCUGCCUAUGCACCCAG